rnacentral:rRNA from 1 species
GCACAAGCGGUGGAGCAUGUGGUUAAUUCGAAGCAACGCGAAGAACCUUACCAGGUCUUGACAUCCCCUGACAACCCAAGAGAUUGGGCGUUCCCCUUCGGGGGACAGGGUGACAGGUGGUGCAUGGUUGUCGUCAGCUCGUGUCGUGAGAUGUUGGGUUAAGUCCCGCAACGAGCGCAACCCUCGCCUCUAGUUGCCAGCAUUCGGUUGGGCACUCUAGAGGGACUGCCGGCGACAAGUCGGAGGAAGGUGGGGAUGACGUCAAAUCAUCAUGCCCCUUAUGACCUGGGCUACACACGUGCUACAAUGGGCGGUACAAAGGGCUGCGAACCCGCGAGGGGGAGCGAAUCCCAAAAAGCCGCUCUCAGUUCGGAUUGCAGGCUGCAACUCGCCUGCAUGAAGCCGGAAUCGCUAGUAAUCGCGGAUCAGCAUGCCGCGGUGAAUACGUUCCCGGGCCUU